CCCUAGUUAGCUCAGUUGGUAGGGCAUGAGACUCUUAAUCUCAGGGUUGUGGGUUUGAGCCCCGUAUUGGGCA